AUUCUGAGGGGGAAGAAAAAAGGAGAAUCGUACAUUCACUCUGAAAAUACAAACAGGGAAGAUUAGCUCUUGAAUCAUGAUGGAAAGAAGCCUUAUUAUGUCCUACUAAUCAAACUACAAGUAAUAUCAUCGGAUUCAUGCAUCGGCCUCUCAAAAAAGAAUAUAAUUAUUUACUUAAAUAUCAUGCAAAUAUAGAUAACUAAGUUAUCACCCCCUUUUUUCAUUUUUCAAACUCUUCAUAUUGGAAUUGGGAUCUUUUUUUGACAUAAUCUGGACAUGCUUGGCUGCUGGUUUAGCAGUUGAUGACAAAACUCUGGAAGUAAUCUUUUCAUAAUGCUAAAAUACAAGAUCUCCUGCUUGCAACUGGUCUCUGACUAAAUUAAAUGAAAGCAAUCACGCAGCGAAAAAAAAAAAAAAGUUGAGUCUGUGAUCACUGUUGAAAUGACUAACAGUGACUUCCUCCACUGAAGUCUCGAACCUUCGAUGUAUGAAAAAUGUGAUAUCUGCAAAGCGCAAUAAAGUGAAAUGCAAUAAAAUGAGUUGUGCCUAUAAUAUUAAA